AGAGAAGAAGCGCAUAAACAUCUCGUUGCCGCUGGAGAUGACUGGCGAGGGUUUCUUGAUGCCACAGAAGCGUCCCAGACUAGGGGCCCGGCCAUCCUGCCCAUCGUAGAUCUCCAGGUGGUCGUAGGCACACUCCAGAAUUCUAGGUGGCAAAGCUAAAAGGGGAGAAGAUCGGGAGAAAAAAGACGGAUUGGAUCCUGAAAAAGAGACCGCAAUAAUUGGACCUGAGCCCUAGGACCAUGCCUCAGGACCACCUGGCAUGACGACUCCUCGCUGUCCCCUGCAUUGCUUGCUGUUUGGGGUUUUAGGCUGGGUUGCUGUACAGCACUUUGAUAUAUCAGCUGAUGUAAGAAGGGCUAUAUAAAUACAUUUGAUUUGAAAAUUUGAUUUGAAUCUGAUAUGCUUUUCACCUAGUUUUUGUCCUUUAAAAUGUUUCAUUUAUUUCAUUCUAUGACCCCAAACCCAACACCUAACUGUUCUG